rnacentral:rRNA from 1 species
GCCCGCGUAGGAUUAGCUAGUUGGUGAGGUAAAAGCUCACCAAGGCGACGAUCCUUAGCUGGUCUGAGAGGAUGAUCAGCCACACUGGGACUGAGACACGGCCCAGACUCCUACGGGAGGCAGCAGUGGGGAAUAUUGGACAAUGGGCGAAAGCCUGAUCCAGCAAUGCCGCGUGAGUGAUGAAGGCCUUAGGGUUGUAAAGCUCUUUUACCCGGGAUGAUAAUGACAGUACCGGGAGAAUAAGCUCCGGCUAACUCCGUGCCAGCAGCCGCGGUAAUACG